GUAUGUCCUUUCGGAACCCAGUCAGUUCACACCAAAGGGCUCAGAAGAGCUAGAACUUGCCCAUGCUGGCCUUGGAAAGAGGAUGUUAAGUAUACCAGACCACUUGAAACAUGAUGAGAUUGUAGCUCUACUUGAGGAGGAAUAUCCUAAACUAAAGACCUUACAAGGAGGUUGGAUGUUUUUCAAGUCUACAGGUGGUAGUGGACGUCGCAAGCUGUCCAUAAUUCCAACUGACGCUGAGGGUUACUCCACAACGCUUCUUAAAUCAGCAUCUAACAAUG